GAUGAACGCUGGCGGCGUGCCUAAUACAUGCAAGUCGAGCGAACAGACGAGGAGCUUGCUCCUCUGACGUUAGCGGCGGACGGGUGAGUAACACGUGGAUAACCUACCUAUAAGACGGGGAUAACUUCGGGAAACCGGAGCUAAUACCGGAUAAUAUAUUGAACCGCAUGGUUCAAUAGUGAAAGACGGUUUUGCUGUCACUUAUAGAUGGAUCCGCGCCGCAUUAGCUAGUUGGUAAGGUAACGGCUUACCAAGGCAACGAUGCGUAGCCGACCUGAGAGGGUGAUCGGCCACACUGGAACUGAGACACGGUCCAGACUCCUACGGGAGGCAGCAGUAGGGAAUCUUCCGCAAAGGGCGAAAGCCUGACGGAGCAACGCCGCGUGAGUGAUGAAGGUCUUCGGAUCGUAAAACUCUGUUAUUAGGGAAGAACAAAUGUGUAAGUAACUAUGCACGUCUUGACGGUACCUAAUCAGAAAGCCACGGCUAACUACGUG
rnacentral:rRNA from 1 species